rnacentral:rRNA from 1 species
GAUGAACGCUGGCGGCGUGCCUAAUACAUGUAAGUCGAGCGAAUGGAUUAAGAGCUUGCUCUUAUGAAGUUAGCGGCGGACGGGUGAGUAACACGUGGGUAACCUGCCCAUAAGACUGGGAUAACUCCGGGAAACCGGGGCUAAUACCGGAUAACAUUUUGAACCGCAUGGUUCGAAAUUGAAAGGCGGCUUCGGCUGUCACUUAUGGAUGGACCCGCGUCGCAUUAGCUAGUUGGUGAGGUAACGGCUCACCAAGGCAACGAUGCGUAGCCGACCUGAGAGGGUGAGCGGCCACACUGGGAGUGAGACACGGCCCAGACUCCUACGGGAGGCAGCAGUAGGGAAUCUUCCGAAAUGGACGAAAGUCUGACGGAGCAACGCCGCGUGAGUGAUGAAGGCUUUCGGGUCGUAAAACUCUGUUGUUAGGGAAGAACAAGUGCUAGUUGAAUAAGCUGGCACCUUGACGGUACCUAACCAGAAAGCCACGGCUAACUACGUGCCAGCAGCCGCCGCCG